UUUUAGACUGGACACAAAAAA
rnacentral:piRNA from 1 species